rnacentral:rRNA from 1 species
AACGCUAGCUACAGGCUUAACACAUGCAAGUCGAGGGGCAGCAUUUUAGUUUGCUUGCAAACUAAAGAUGGCGACCGGCGCACGGGUGAGUAACACGUAUCCAACCUGCCGAUAACUCGGGGAUAGCCUUUCGAAAGAAAGAUUAAUAUCCGAUGGUAUAUUAAAACCGCAUGGUUUUACUAUUAAAGAAUUUCGGUUAUCGAUGGGGAUGCGUUCCAUUAGUUUGUUGGCGGGGUAACGGCCCACCAAGACUACGAUGGAUAGGGGUUCUGAGAGGAAGGUCCCCCACAUUGGAACUGAGACACGGUCCAAACUCCUACGGGAGGCAGCAGUGAGGAAUAUUGGUCAAUGGACGAGAGUCUGAACCAGCCAAGUAGCGUGAAGGAUGACUGCCCUAUGGGUUGUAAACUUCUUUUAUAUGGGAAUAAAGUGGGCCACGUGUGGCUUUUUGUAUGUACCAUACGAAUAAGGAUCGGCUAACUCCGUGCCAGCAGCCGCGGUAAUACGGAGGAUCCAAGCGUUAUCCGGAUUUAUUGGGUUUAAAGGGAGCGUAGGCGGAUUAUUAAGUCAGUUGUGAAAGUUUGCGGCUCAACCGUAAAAUUGCAGUUGAUACUGGUAGUCUUGAGUGCAGCAGAGGUAGGCGGAAUUCGUGGUGUAGCGGUGAAAUGCUUAGAUAUCACGAAGAACUCCGAUUG